GGCUAAUCCGGUUUCUGACGAGAAGGACCUUGAGCUUCCUGAUGGUCACUUCCCUCCUAUGCAGUCGGGGGUGGGGCCGGAUCUCUAGUGAGAGUCAGAGGGAACAGAAGACCAAGGAGAGUGACAGUGGACCUUCCCUCGCCUUCUGAAACUAUAGUAUGACCAUCGCUUCCCACUCGAACAUUAACCUUGAUUGGCUGUUAAACGCUGUCUCUUUUCCCUCUCUGUUGUUAAAAAUAGAUUGGCAGGAUCUAGGUAAGUGCACCAGUGGGGACUUACUUUGGAUCUCAAAUCUGGAGAUGAGCGAACAAGGAUCUGACAACACUGGUAGUCUUUUUACUGGCAGAGUCCUAAUGUGGUGUGCGGCAAGGCAUAGCAAGGGAGGAAGGAAGGACGGAAGGAAGGGAGGGAGGGAGGGAGGGAGGGAGGGAGGGAGGGAGGGAGGGAGGGAGGGAGGGAGGGAGGAAGCUCAUGCAUGCAUGAGUCUCUUCCCUAUCCACUUCGGUGUGUGUGCCUGUCUGUCUGUCUGUCUGUCUGUCUGCCUGCCUGCCUGCCUGUGACUACGUGUUCCCUCUUCUUUAAAAGUCACCAGUAUAGAAUGAUGACAACGCCAUCCUGAUGAUAUUCUCUGUUUGUAAUCAGUCCCCAGAUUCUGCCUCUAAACACCAUGACACAAUUAGGUUUCCAUCAACUCAAUACCUCACAAGGAUAAAACUCAUGGACUUCAGAAACAACAUGUUGUUCCUCACACCAUAGUAAACCUCAUCUCCAGGGGGCAGUCAAACUCAGUGUAGGAGCUGAGGGCAAUACCAUUCAGUCUGUAGUACUUGUUUGUUCCAAAGCAGGUUUGUGUACAGACCCUGUGGUUGAGUUCACCUUAUUCCUUAAUUAAAGAGGAAGUUUGAUGUUGGUAAGCCUUUCUCUCCACUCCAGAUUCUUCCUCAGAGGCGGAACCUUCUUGGUUCUGAGCCUCAGGAAGCAAGCCUCUGCAAUUGCUCUCCGGCUAGCAGGUUACUGAUUACUUUUGGCCCCUGGGAUAAACUGGCAGAUGAUCAAUUUUCUGGAGGCAUGAGAAGCCACAAUAUUAAUUUUCUGUUCCUCCCCCAUGUUAGCUCUGCACCUUGUGUGGCUGCCUUAAACCUCCAACGCUGCACCUGGAAAUUCCUUUCUCUGUCACACUGCUAACGGUGUUCUGGUAACGCUCCUUUGCCCUUGCCCCUUCAGCUAAGAGGUAACCAAUGUGUCUAGAGCCAGGGUAAGUCUUGAAACUGUGCCCAGGUCUCCAUCAAGAGUGUUGCUGCUAACAUUUCUUCACUGAAAGCUUACAAAGAGUGAAUUCCGUUUCUUUGAGACCAGGGGCUUGGCUAUCUUUGCUUAAAUUUCCCUUUUAAUUUAAAUCUCAGUGUGUGGACCUGCCAGUCUCCGUUUGUAUUUAAGGGGGGAGGGGGAGUUCAUAGGUAAUUAUCAGAACUAGAAGUGAAACAUGAAAAAGAGAAGGAGAAAGUGCUAGAAGAAUUCGUUACAAAUCUGCAUAAAGACAUUGUCCCUUACACCUUUAGAAAACCUCUCAACUCUCAAGGGAUGUCAUAGGAGAACUGUGUAGACAGAAUGCCCUUUGUCUUCUUAGGAAUAAGUUGAAAGUUAUUACCCAAGAUCUCUCCAUUGCUUUAUUGGGAGGGUUAUGAGGGGCCAUUUUUCCGUUUCCCUACUUUAGAAUGAGAAGUGACCAUUUUCAGUACUUGAGUAUAAAAUAGGUCAUUUCCCUCUUGCUUUGUCAGAGAAGUCUGGCUUCCUUAAAUUGACUGGCGAGGUUUAUUCAUGGAGUUGCUCUAAGCAGUGUUAACUGUGUUUCAAACUCAGCCCUCUCCUCAUUGCUUCCUAAAGAAAUCUUGAAGUUCUAAAGGCAACAGGUCACCGUGGGUGCUGGGGAAAGCCUUCAUCAGAGAAGCGACCCCAGUGGGCCCCACUCAGCUAUAAGUCCAGAUGCUCUGAUAGAAUGGCCAAGAAGUCAGAGCAGGAGACAGGAUGUAAUGGGACAGGAAUAGUUUUCUCAGCAGACAGAGAGAAAUCUGUCCUCAAAAAAGUAUAACCGUGAGUGUUUAUUGAUGACAGAAGCAUUCCCACGUUGGACUUCUCGAGUCCCUUCAUUCACCAGACUUAUUUUAAAAGAGGUGGCCACAAGGACACCAAGCCUCACCCUCCAUGCUAGGCCAGGCCAAUGUCUGUCACAGUGUAUGUUGCUAAAGUGUGGCUUGAAGAUUAGAUGAAAGCUCUUUUAGAAGGAAGAGGAGAGGAAAAGGAGAAGGGGGAGGAAAGGGAAGAAAAGGAGAAAGAAAGAAAGAAAGAAAGAAAGAAAGAAAGAAAGAAGGAAAGAGAGAGAAAGAAAGAAAGAAAGAAAGAAAGAAAGAAAGAAAGAAAGAAAGAAAGAAAGAAAGGGCAGAAGGAAGGAAGGAAAAAUAGAGGAGGAAGGAAAGAAAACUAGCUAUUUUUCAUGAUCUGUCCUGAGAAAAUAUUUCUAAACUCACCCUACAAACUGCUGUCUAUAACACCAUUGGAGUCAAAUGGGCCCCUUUCAGACAGGGAAAUUCACAGCUGCUGGCUGUGGCAUGCAGGGCACGCAGCCAGGGACACCUAAGAGCAAGUGCUUGCCUCUCUCUCUCACCCAGAAUGAUGAUGCAGGAAUGACAAAGGGAGAUACUGGGGAAUGUCAAGUCAAACAAAUCAUAGCUCUUCUCCGGUGGCUCCUGUGACCUUGUUCUGAGGUAAGGCACACAGGCGGGAGGGACAUUCAGGAUAAGCAAUGUUUGUCAUCUGAGGCUUCUAUCUGCUCCAAACGGAACUUUAAAUCUCCCUUAUGGAGGCAUUGACAUUUAGUUUGGCACAUUUUCAGAUACUAGGGGAAAAAAAAAACAUGACUUGACAAGAAAAAAAGUCAAGUUAAUACACAGGAAAAGGAGGCCAUUAUUUCCAUAGUUCAGCAUCUAAUUUACAUAGAAGCAUGCAAACACGCGUUUUUGGACACUAGAAUUUCUAUUGUUUUAAAUUACUGUUUUUUUCUGUCACUGAGUCAAGGAAGAUAACUGUGGCUUUUACAAAUCCCAAAUCAAGUAAAAUUAGGUUCCCCAUUGCUACAUCCAGAAUCAAUCAAUCUUUCUUUCUUUCUUUCUUUCUUUCUUUCUUUCUUUCUUUCUUUCUUUCUAUCUUCCUUCCUUCCUCCCUUCCUCCAUCCCUCCCUCCCUUCCUUCUUUCCUUCCCGUGCUUAUUUUCAAUCAUAUGAGGUUUUUAUCUAAAAGUCGCUGAGUUGACCUGUCUCAUAUUAAGCUUUAUCGCCUGCAAAGAUGAAGGAGGCGGUCGUCCAGGGAAGUAUUAGCAUUCUUCUUAGGGUGGUUAUAAAUAUUAAAUUGGGCACAUGCUUAUCUGAUAAACUUUACUAUACAUAGACCAAGUUUCGAUUAGGGCAGGGGCAGGGGUAUUAUUUUAUAUGACAAACUGAUCCAGCUCUUUCCCCAAAUUAAAACAUGAGGACUCCUGAGGGACUGUGUGCACACACAUGCCUUUAAGGAGAGAGACUUUAUAAUCGAUAGGCUCGCUGAAAGUUUAUUUUUGUCCCCGUUAGAAAGAGCGUCUAAUUCUGCCCCCCCCCAACCAAUGCGCACACUUCGCUCCAGCCUGAACAUCCUGUGACUUCAGUAGUCCUGACAUUUUAAGGUGGUAUUUGAUCCUUCCAAAUCUUUGAAGAUCAUUUUUCUGCAGACUCUUCACCAUCCCACCUUUAAAGAUAAAAGGCCAGUCUGUGAAGGAGAUCAGGUCGAAGAAAGUUCAGUUUUGUAAUUCCAGCAACAGGACACUUCCCUCACUGACUGUCUCCCACAUAUCAGUUAUUUGAGACAGACUUUUUUAUUUGUUUGUUUGUUUUUCUUUUUUAGAAGAAAGAGAGGUCUGGUGUCAAAAGUGCUGCCAAACAUCCCCAAAUCACAGAGUCUCUUAACUCCGACAGGUUAAGAAAAGACAGUUUGCCUUCAUACCUUCAGCUUUCCUUAUUAACUUUGACCUCGGCCUUUUCUCAGUCAGCUGCUUACACAGGCAUUUCACACAGGAGAAGUGAAGGAAAUUCCAGAAGAAAAGCAAGCAGCAUAAAAACGACUUUUUACGGAAAGUUCAACAACCUCCAGAGAGAUCGAGUAUGGCAUGCUGAAGGAGCUGACUUCAUUUAUUAAAUGCACUUCCCGAUGUGUUAAGUAACUCGUUCUUCUAAGUGCACAGGGUUUGUAUUACUCUUCUCUCUGCUGCCUCCUUCCCCUCUGUAGGAUUUAUGAUGUUUUCCUGACAGGCUCCAUGUGCCUGAGGCCCAUUAGGUAGGACUGAGGUCUCACCUUUUCUAAGUCCAGAAGUCAUCCUGAGGAAGUGCUAUUACUUCAUGUGUAAAACUGCAAAACACACACAGAAUCACUUGGAACAGAAACUCUUUCUGUCAAGGGUUGCUCUUCCUCCAAAGUUUCUUCUCUGAAAACUUAUUACUAUUAUUAUUAAUUACUAUUAUUAGUUUUGCUGAUUUGAUUAUGCUCUACUGAAGGUAGUUAGAAAAUGAUAUAAAAUAGGAAAUAUUGUUGCUUGCAAAACAGUGUCAAAGGCCAACAGAUAAACCUUCAAAUUCAUCUGCAGCACAUGUCAAUUAGAUGCUGUCCAGAAAAUAGGGCAAGCAACAGGACUUCUUCCUCUGUUCAAAGUGUCAGUCCAAUUCAGUUUCAACCCAGAAUGUGUUUUAGGUCUGAGGUAAUAGGCCUACCUCAUUUCUUCCAUAGAUUUUGUCUGGAGGAGCGACCAACUGGAUCCACUUCAACUCUGGAGAUCACUACAUGCCACCACAUACUAUAUUGUUGGCCACGAGCAGCACUGAAUCUUCACGUGUAGCUUCUUACACUGUCAUGCCCCAUAGUACCCACAGCUAAAUCUAUACUUUCCAGCAAAGAACACAAGCCUGCAAUUGCCCUUACAGUUUCAAAGCUUAGCUUUGCAGGUAAUUGGGGAAAGUUAGUUAUGUUCUCCGUGCACAAGUUAAUUCAUUCCCACUAAAACAAUUACAGCAUUGACUGUGUCAUGAGUCUGUGAGGAUUGUAUAGUUCACAUGAAGCUGCUUAGGAACAUGUAAGCAUUCAUGUGUGCAUAAUUAUACAUUACUGUACUUUUAUUUUCAUUAUUUUUAUUGUACAAAUGUAAAUUUCUUUCUUCAUAUCAUAGAGAAUUGACACAGCAACAUUAACUUGAUUUAAUUAGCUCAUAAAAUCUGGACUUGCCAAGCUGGUCAACUGAGGCCACUUUUGGGAACCCAGAGGAAGAAGGUAUCUUCUAUAUCUAUUAUAUAGUCUAUCUAUUUAUGGGGAUAAAUAGAUGUUGGUAGAAGUGGAGGUUUCUGGAAUUGUCUGAAAAUAGUUCCUAUUGCCAAACUUUUGUACAUCAAGUGUGUGUACAAGAAAGACCUCAGAAAGUCAGCACUGCUAUAGGACUGUGCACAAGCCAAGUAUCUGAAUAAUUUCUGGUGACUGGGCUUUUUCCCUGUUGAGUUCGAUGACUGUACUCCACUAGGAGAAAGGUCAUGAAGCAUGGUUCCUGCUAGGGCUGACAUUUAACAAGGAGUGAUUGAUUUGAAAGCAGGAUUGAUACUCAGAUUUAGUCUACCGGUGUUUUGCUAAAAUCCCUUUAAAAUGGGACUGUAAGUUCAUCCUCUCUUUUUCUUUCCUCUGAAUAGAUUUUUUUUUAACUAGGCCAAAAACUACCAAUAGCCAGCUCAAGUAAAACACAAGCCAAUUCAUGUCUUCAGUGUCCACCAUCUGAGUAUCUCCUAGUUAGAGGAAUGAUCACAGUUCUUAAAGUAUGAAAACACUAGUUACUGAUCGCUACCUAUCCUGAGCCCUCACUGCUAACACAGGAGCUCCAGAUGAAAUCUAAAUUUGCUAUUUCAAGCCCAUUGCUGUGUUGAUCAUUUGAGAUAAAAAUGACAUAGUUUUGAGUCUUCGGAAACUGCUCCACUUAACUCCCAAACCGUUGCUUUUGAAAAAGGCUAAUUUGGGGUUGGGUACAUUGGUGUUGCUGCCUUGUAAAACGGCAAGCUUUUUUUUAAAAAAGAAAAAGAAAGAAAAGAAAAAAAUGAAAAAAAUGGCAGCAGAGACAUUUUUUCUAGCCCAUGUCAGCACAAAAGGGUGACUCAGUUGUUUCAUCUCCCAACAGCUGCAUGCUUUCAUUGACAUUUGGUGACCUUUCUUUGUGCACCCAGCCUAACCUCUUAGGUUAUUUCCUGGCCUCCCUUCUGUGACCUAUGACCGAAGCUGACCUUUAGCUGGAGAAUGUGACAUUUUGUUCUCCUCUAGCUGACAUGUGAUGCUCUCAUUAUUCAAAGAGCCAUCUUGGGAACAGUUCCAAACUGUGGAGAACAGAAGUUUCGACUGCUUGACUGAAGUGUUAACGUCAUCCAGUCUGAGAUUUCAUAACUUUACAAACAAGAGGCCGAGGCCUCAGUGGAGUCACCAGUGGCCGUCUUAAUUACAGCAUCAACAAAUGAGCAUUUCAGCAAAAACACGCAACCUUCUUGGUGCAGGUUCAGCUAAAGUUUCUCAUUCUGAAGCUGUCGUUUCCUCUCUACUUUCACCUCCUCAUUCUUGGGAAAAAAAGUAGUUUCCCCAUUACAGUCUUUUUUUUAAAAGUAUAGUUAAAAAAUAAAAUAAUAUCUUGGGUCCUGUGGAUCUUUUCUCAUGAAUGACUUAGUUAGCUGUUUAAGCUUGUGUCAAGAUAAUAUCCUCGAAAUUUGCUGAAAUAACCAUUCUCUUUCAGGUCAUGAUGUCUGUGAUUAGUUUCAAAGAGGCUAGGGCAUAUGUCAAUGCUGUAGGAAAUGUGUUGUUUAUGCCCCAAGAAGCUGUAUCUUCUCCUGAGUGCUACCUUCCCCGUGAAGAGAUGAGUUGAUUUCUGAAUUGUAAAACAAUGCCAUAUGGGAUAUAGGUUCAACAAAUAUUUGAAUGGAAGCUUUAUACAGAGAACUCCAGUGGUGAUAAAAUAGUGAGUCCUGCACCUGGCCUUCAACAAAGAUGUGUCCUUACCAAGAGCACACUGAAAUGUCUAACUCCUGAAAGAAUGUUUUGCAAGUUUUAGAGUUUGACAAGAUAUGGUGACUCGAGCCUGCAACACCAGGUCUUGGGUGGCCAAGGUGAAAGGAUAGCUUUAAUUUCAGGGCUGACCUGAGCUAGAUAGCAGGGUUCUGUUUCAAAACAAAAGCCGUGUGGAUCCCCCACCAAAGAAAAGCCUCAAUGUAAAUCUGCUUUCAUAAUUUUAAUAACUCUAUCCAAUCAAUUCUGAUGUUCUGUUCAUAGAUGAGUUCUUAGCUUACAUAUAAAAUAUCUUUCCUGUGUCAUUUUUAUGCCUAAUUGGUGUAUAACAUCCACUGAACAUCAAAAUAAAUGUUAUAAGUCAUUG